AGUGAACGCUGGCGGUAGGCCUAACACAUGCAAGUCGAACGGCAGCACAGUAAGAGCUUGCUCUUACGGGUGGCGAGUGGCGGACGGGUGAGGAAUACAUCGGAAUCUACUUUUUCGUGGGGGAUAACGUAGGGAAACUUACGCUAAUACCGCAUACGACCUACGGGUGAAAGCAGGGGAUCUUCGGACCUUGCGCGAUUGAAUGAGCCGAUGUCGGAUUAGCUAGUUGGCGGGGUAAAGGCCCACCAAGGCGACGAUCCGUAGCUGGUCUGAGAGGAUGAUGAGCCACACUGGAACUGAGACACGGCACAGCCUCCUACGGGAGGCACCAGGGGGGAAUAUUGAACAAGGGGCGCAGGCCUGAUCCAGCCAUACCGCGGGGGUGAAGAAGGCUUUCGGGUUGUAAAGCCUUUUUGUUGGGAAAAAAAAGCAGCAGGUUAAUACCCCGCUGUUCUGACGGUACCCAAAAAAAAAGCACCGGCUAACUUCGUG
rnacentral:rRNA from 1 species